rnacentral:tRNA from 1 species
UCUAAUAUGGCAGAUUAGUGCAAUGAACUUAAGAUUCAUUUAUAAAGAUUUUACAUCUUUUAUUAGAA